AUUGAAGCACUAGUUCCUGUACAAUCACCAAAGUUAAGCAACAUUGAAUCUGAUCAGUAUCUAGGUGGGUGACCACUUAGGAAUACCAGGUGCUGUAA